GCUGGCGUAGCUCAGUUGGUAGAGCAGCUGAUUUGUAAUCAGCAGGUCAUCGGUUCAAAUCCGAUUGCCAGCU
rnacentral:tRNA from 1 species